rnacentral:lncRNA from 1 species
CUUCCGGAAGUGACCCACGUGCUUCUUAUUUCGCCUAUCUUGGUACCCGGUUAACUUUUUACUAUUGACCCGAAGUUGGGGGCGUUGCGGGAGCUGUGACCUACCCCAGGCCGUGGACUAAAGACCAGGAGGCUAUUUUCUCCACGGUGCUAAGUUGACAUGGAUCCGCUCAGAGCCCAGCAACUGGCAGCGGAGCUGGAGGUGGAGAUGAUGGCCGACAUGUACAACAGAAUGACCAGUGCCUGCCACCGGAAGUGCGUGCCUCCCCACUACAAGGAGGCAGAGCUGUCCAAAGGCGAGUCUGUGUGUCUGGACCGAUGCGUAUCCAAGUACUUGGACAUCCAUGAGAGGAUGGGAAAAAAGUUGACAGAGUUGUCUAUGCAGGAUGAAGAGCUGAUGAAGCGGGUACAGCAGAGCUCUGGGCCUGCAUGAGGCCCCGGGCCAUGUACACCCGUGGUGCACCUUGCCACCUCUGAUUAAAGUGUCCCUAAUGGAUGUCACAUGUGAAAACUGUCAUACUUAGGCCCUUGAGCAUCUCCAGGACCCCUGCGUGUGGUAGAGCUCUCCUGGCUAAGGAAGGGGACUUGUCAUGCUGGUUUGUGACUGUGAAUGUGUGUAUAUGUAUAUAUCAUAUUAAAACAAAUUUGUGCAAA